rnacentral:rRNA from 1 species
UACAGAGGGGGCAAGCGUUAUUCGGAAUUAUUGGGCGUAAAGGGCGCGUAGGCGGCUUGGCAAGUGGAUGGUGAAAUCCCUCGGCUUAACCGGGGAACUGCGUCUGAUACUGGAUGGCUUGAGGUUGGGAGAGGGAUGCGGAAUUCCAGGUGUAGCGGUGAAAUGCGUAGAUAUCUGGAGGAACACCGAUGGCGAAGGCAGCCCCCUGGGUUAACACUGACGCUCAUGCACGAAAGCGUGGGGAGCAAACAGG